rnacentral:tRNA from 1 species
GGGGAAGUGGCGGAAUGGUAGACGCGCUGGCCUCAGGAGCCAGUGUCCUUUACGGAUGUGGGGGUUCGAAUCCCCCCUUCCCCA